rnacentral:rRNA from 1 species
CAUUUAGCUUUGUUUGGUGGGGUAAAGGCCUACCAAGGGCAACGAUGGGUAGCUGGUCUGAGAGGAUGAUCAGCCACACUGGGACUGGAACACGGCCCAGACUCCUACGGGAGGCAGCAGUGGGGAAUAUUGCGCAAUGGGGGAAACCCUGACGCAGCGACGCCACGUGGGGGAUGAAGGCCUUCGGGUCGUAAACCUCUGUCAGAAGGGAAGAAACGCGCCAUUUCAAAUAGGCUUGGCGUUUGACGGUACCUUCAGAGGAAGCACCGGCUAACUCCGUGCCAGCAGCCGCGGUAAUACGGAGGGUGCGAGCGUUAAUCGGAAUCACUGGGCGUAAAGCGUACGUAGGCGGCGUGUCAAGUCAGGUGUGAAAGCCCUCGGCUCAACCGGGGAAUUGCACUUGAAACUGAUAUGCUAGAGUUCUGGAGGGGGUAGCGGAAUUCCCGGUGUAGGAGUGAAAUCCGUAGAUAUCGGGAGGAACACCAGUGGCGAAGGCGGCUACCUGGACAGUAACUGACGCUGAGGUACGAAAGCGUGGU